GAGUUUGAUCCUGGCUCAGAACGAACGCUGGCGGCAUGCCUAACACAUGCAAGUCGAACGAUCCCUUCGGGGAUAGUGGCGCACGGGUGCGUAACGCGUGGGAACCUGCCCUUAGGUUCGGAAUAACUCAGAGAAAUUUGAGCUAAUACCGGAUAAUGUCUUCGGACCAAAGAUUUAUCGCCUUUGGAUGGGCCCGCGUUGGAUUAGCUAGUUGGUGAGGUAAAAGCCCACCAAGGCGACGAUCCGUAGCUGGUCUGAGAGGACGAUCAGCCACACUGGAACUGAGACACGGUCCAGACUCCUACGGGAGGCAGCAGUGGGGAAUUUUGGACAAUGGGGGCAACCCUGAUCCAGCCAUGCCGCGUGAGUGAAGAAGGCCUUCGGUUGUAAG
rnacentral:rRNA from 1 species